rnacentral:rRNA from 1 species
AUACGGAGGGUGCAAGCGUUAAUCGGAAUUACUGGGCGUAAAGCGUGCGCAGGCGGUUUGUUAAGUCAGAUGUGAAAGCCCCGGGCUCAACCUGGGAACCGCAUUUGAAACUGGCCAACUAGAGUGUGGUAGAGGGAAGUGGAAUUCCUCAUGUAGCGGUGAAAUGCGUAGAUAUGAGGAGGAACACCAGUGGCGAAGGCGACUUCCUGGACCAACACUGACGCUCAUGUACGAAAGCGUGGGUAGCAAACAGGAUUAGAAACCCCGGUAGUCC